GUCUAGUAUAAGCAAUCUAUACAGUGAAACUGCGAAUGGCUCAUUAAAUCAGUUAUCGUUUAUUUGAUAGUACCUUACUACUUGGAUAACCGUGGUAAUUCUAGAGCUAAUACAUGCUAAAAACCCCGACUUCGGAAGGGGUGUAUUUAUUAGAUAAAAAACCAAUGCUCUUCGGGGCUCCUUGGUGAUUCAUGAUAACUUAACGAAUCGCAUGGCCUUGUGCCGGCGAUGGUUCAUUCAAAUUUCUGCCCUAUCAACUUUCGAUGGUAGGAUAGUGGCCUACCAUGGUUUCAACGGGUAACGGGGAAUUAGGGUUCUAUUCCGGAGAGGGAGCCUGAGAAACGGCUACCACAUCCAAGGAAGGCAGCAGGCGCGCAAAUUACCCAAUCCCGACACGGGGAGGUAGUGACAAUAAAUACUGAUACAGGGCUCUUUUGGGUCUUGUAAUUGGAAUGAGUACAAUUUAAAUCCCUUAACGAGGAACAAUUGGAGGGCAAGUCUGGUGCCAGCAGCCGCGGUAAUUCCAGCUCCAAUAGCGUAUAUUAAAGUUGUUGCAGUUAAAAAGCUCGUAGUUGAACCUUGGGCCUGGCUGGUCGGUCCGCCUCACCGCGUGCACUGAUCCGGCCGGGCCUUUCCUCCUGGGGAGCCGCAUGCCCUUCACUGGGUGUGUCGGGGAACCAGGACUUUUACUUUGAAAAAAUUAGAGUGUUCAAAGCAGGCCUAUGCUCGAAUACAUUAGCAUGGAAUAAUAGAAUAGGACGUGUGGUUCUAUUUUGUUGGUUUCUAGGACCGCCGUAAUGAUUAAUAGGGAUAGUCGGGGGCAUCAGUAUUCAAUUGUCAGAGGUGAAAUUCUUGGAUUUAUUGAAGACUAACUACUGCGAAAGCAUUUGCCAAGGAUGUUUUCAUUAAUCA
rnacentral:rRNA from 1 species